AGAGAGAGACAUGCGCGCAUAUCAAUAAGCGGAGGAAAAGAAACUAACAAGGAUUCCCUUAGUAACGGCGAGUGAAGCGGGAAGAGCUCAAAUUUGAAAUCUUCAAGGUUUUACCUUGACGAAUUGUAGUUUAAAGAAGUGUUUUCUGCUGAAGUUUUGGUAAAAGUUCUUUGGAAUAGGACAUCAUAGAGGGUGAGAAUCCCGUAGUUUGACCAUUAUUUUCAGCUUUGUGAUACACUUUCAAAGAGUCGGAUUGUUUGGGAAUGCAGUCCAAAAUGGGUGGUAAAUUUCAUCUAAAGCUAAAUAUUGGCGAGAGACCGAUAGCGAACAAGUAUCGUGAGGGAAAGAUGAAAAGAACUUUGAAAAGAGAGUUAAACAGUACGUGAAAUUGUCAAAAGGGAAGCGUUUGACACCAGUGUUGUUUUCUCGAAAAUCAAUUAAAAAUGGCUCGAUUUUGUAUUGCUUGAGACCUUAAAAGCUCACUGUACAUUUUUCGUGUCUUUUUUAAUGCACUUUUCGUUUAACAAGUCAACAUCAGUUUCUUUUGUUGUAAAAGGGUCAUUGGAAGGUGGCUUUCUUUUCGGAGAAAGUGUUUAUAGCCUUUGGCCUCUGCAAUCGGAGAGACUGAGGUCUGCAGCGUAGACUCUUCGGGGUUAGAUACAUUUGUGCUAAGUUAUAGCUUUUUAUAGACAACUUGUUGACUAUAAUUAGUCUUGUAGCUUACUCGCUUAUGCUAUUUUACCUACGCUUAGGAUGUUGAAGAUGUAGCACAUCAU
rnacentral:rRNA from 1 species